GAUCAAAACACUAUGAAAUGCUGUCAUAAAAUGGCCAAGGAAGUCUCUGAGCCCAAACCCAAGGGAAUAAAUUAUAUUGCAGGAGGUAGAAAUAAAAUAGAAAAGGUUGUCAUGGAAAACAGAAAUAAAAAACUAGAAGUAUUAACUGAAACUGUUGUGUAUGAGAUGAUGGAGAAGCUAUUAAUCCAGUCUCUGGGAAUGUGUAUAAUAGCAAAACAGGUGCAAGAAAGUGGAAGAAGCCCUCCAGGCACCAGGGGUUGUCCUUGGUAAACAUGUACUCCCUCCUAGAGUCCCACCCUUCUGAGGAGUCUACAUCCUUGCAAAUUCCCAUGCAGGAGUAACAUUUUCUAGUGUUUCUGAAUGGCUUUUUUUGUGUUUAUGUUACUCUCAUUGCAAUUUUUUUCUUGGCUAUCUAAAAUUAAAUUGUAUAUGUGAGGCCUAGCUGCUUUGUUUAUAGCUUUCCGUAAUCUUCCGGUUCAAGGUGUCUGGACAAGGGCAGCAGGACUGGUCAAACCUCAGUCUCUAAAUACACUUUGCUAAAAACUGGAGACUAAAUUGAUAUAUGUUCACUGUCUGACUUUGUACAGUGGAAGGUGUGCUUGUUAUGACUGGAGACUUUGUUUUGCUCACUCCUAUUGCCCCAGCAUAUGCUUGGCACAGAGUGGGGACUCCAUACAUAUUUGAUAAAUAAAUGAAUUUGAAUAUA